GGUUUAUGAUGACAAAGGACCUUGUCUGACCAUAAUGAUUUAAAGAAAUGAGCUUGAAAAAUUCUGAAAUC
ensembl:snoRNA Snord107 small nucleolar RNA SNORD107